rnacentral:lncRNA from 1 species
AAGUUCUCUCCCAUGUAUGGAUGACCACACUGCUCCCUCAGUGCUUUUUGGUUGCAGACUGCCAGCUCCUAGCUGCAGGUAAGAAAACAGCAAGUGAGAAGAUCCUCUGCAAAAACAUUGGAAGGCUAUCAAAUCAGAAUUUGAAAUUAAAGACUUCUCUAGAAGUGUUUCUGAGACUCAAUGGGCCAAAAAUAGCCUGGAAGCAGUCAAAAAAGAGCAAUGCCAUCCAUCUGGGCAGACCUCAUCCUGAAUCUACCAGCAUGACUGAAUAGUUCCACAGAGAUGCUGGCUUCUUGUAAAGACUGUUCCACUUUUUUUUCUUUUCAAUUUUUUUUCUUUUUUCCCUUGUGCAGCUUAUUCCUCUCUCUGGACUGUUUUUUCCCCACAAAUAACUGUUAAUUGUUUGUUUUCCCUGCAAACAGUGAAGAGAGCCAUAUUGCACCAUAAAAGUAAUGUCAUGUGGAUUCCCAUCUCAUCAACUCUCCAUGACUUCUGAGUCAUGCCUGGGUAGUUUUCAAGUGUGACUACAAAAUUAGAAGACAUUUCACAGAAGUCCUGACGUUUUAUUGGAAAGAGGGUGCAUUUUUCUAUAUAAUAUAGACACUCUAUGAUUAAGGGAUUUUGAGGAUGUCUCCAUUCAUUGCUAGAGAUCGGAGGAGAUCUGGAGGUGAUCAUGACUACCACGGAGGACACAGACCUGAUGCACUGUUUUGGGAAGGGUAAAGGAUCACCUUUUGCCAGUCCAUCAGUGGAGGGUGGUCACAAGAACUUACCAAGAGACUGCAGCAGCCUGGAAAAGCAAAGAUGGUUGUGACAGUAGGAGCAGCUGAUGUGUAGAGAUGAACUGUAUCAGGGUAAGGAAAUCAUUGGUUCCAAAAUGAUGAAGUGGUCUUUAAUUGUCCACAUCUCAAUGCCUAGGGGAGUAUUGCCAGGGAAACUAGAACAGACGGAAAUGCUGCUGACAUUAUAAUAAUGUGCUGCAUGGGAAACCACUGCAGAAAUAGUUAAGUGAUGCCUUUGCCAAGGCCACAGAGUGAAAUGUUACUACACCAUGGGGUGGAUUAAAAUAUGCAUUUUCUCCUAAUUGAGCACAGCGGACUCAGCUGGAGGUCCUGUCAGGAGAAGAGGAAUAAUUUGUCACAGCAAGAAAUGUAUAACUUGACAGAGCAUCUAUUAGACAGUACAGUAAAAAAUAAAGUUGGACUUGUG